GACGAACGCUGGCGGCGUGCCUAAUACAUGCAAGUAGGACGCACAGUUUAUACCGUAGCUUGCUACACCAUAGACUGUGAGUUGCGAACGGGUGAGUAACGCGUAGGUAACCUACCUAUUAGAGGGGGAUAACUAUUGGAAACGAUAGCUAAUACCGCAUAACAGUAUGUAACACAUGUUAGAUGCUUGAAAGAUGCAAUUGCAUCGCUAGUAGAUGGACCUGCGUUGUAUUAGCUAGUAGGUAGGGUAAUGGCCUACCUAGGCAACGAUACAUAGCCGACCUGAGAGGGUGAUCGGCCACACUGGGACUGAGACACGGCCCAGACUCCUACGGGAGGCAGCAGUAGGGAAUCUUCGGCAAUGGGGGGAACCCUGACCGAGCAACGCCGCGUGAGUGAAGAAGGUUUUCGGAUCGUAAAGCUCUGUUGUUAAGGAAGAACGAGUGUGAGAAUGGAAAGUUCAUGCUGUGACGGUACUUAACCAGAAAGGGACGGCUAACUACGUGCCAGCAGCCGCGGUAAUACGUAGGUCCCGAGCGUUGUCCGGAUUUAUUGGGCGUAAAGCGAGCGCAGGCGGUUAGAAAAGUCUGAAGUGAAAGGCAGUGGCUCAACCAUUGUAGGCUUUGGAAACUGUUUAACUUGAGUGCAGAAGGGGAGAGUGGAAUUCCAUGUGUAGCGGUGAAAUGCGUAGAUAUAUGGAGGAACACCGGUGGCGAAAGCGGCUCUCUGGUCUGUAACUGACGCUGAGGCUCGAAAGCGUGGGGAGCGAACAGG
rnacentral:rRNA from 1 species